CCAACAGGGAUUGCCUCNGUAACGGCGAGUGAAGCGGCAACAGCUCAAAUUUGAAAGCUGGCCCCCUUCGGGGUCCGCGUUGUAAUUUGUAGAGGAUGAUUCGGCGAGGGCUCCCGCCUAAGUCCCUUGGAACAGGGCGUCAUAGAGGGUGAGAAUCCCGUAUGCGGUGGGCUGCCUUAGCCAUGUGAAUCUCCUUCGACGAGUCGAGUUGUUUGGGAAUGCAGCUCUAAAUGGGAGGUAAAUUUCUUCUAAAGCUAAAUACCGGCCAGAGACCGAUAGCGCACAAGUAGAGUGAUCGAAAGAUGAAAAGCACUUUGGAAAGAGAGUUAAAAAGUACGUGAAAUUGUUGAAAGGGAAGCGCUUGCAGCCAGACUUGCCCGCAGUUGCUCAGCCCGUCUCCUGACGGGUGCACUCUUCUGCGGUCAGGCCAGCAUCAGUUCGGGCGGUCGGAUAAAGGCUCGGGGAAUGUAGCUCCUCUCGGGGAGUGUUAUAGCCCCGAGCGCAAUGCGGCCAGCCCGGACUGAGGAUCUCGCUUCGGCUAGGAUGCUGGCGUAAUGGCUGUAAGCGGCCCGUCUUGAAACACGGACC
rnacentral:rRNA from 1 species